AUGCCAGUCCCUAAGGCCUGGAUCUAAUUUUGAUUGCUCUUUUUCCUUUUUCUGAGACAAGUUAGAAUUUAUAAAGAUAUGUUUUGAUGAUGCAUUAUUUUGUGAUACUGUAGUUAGAAAGGAAUAUCGAUUCUCCUGGAAGACUCAUAAUAUUCUUUGUUGCAAACAGUAAGUGAUGAUGUAGCCUGUUGGAACUUCAGGUAUUCCUUGAUUAGACUAGGAACUAAAAAUUUGAAAGUAAUACUUCUGGAAGGUGAGGAGGAAACCCUUGUAGAGCAAAUUUUCUCAUUGCACAGGAACUAUUGAGAAAAAGACUUAAAAUUUUAAUUUCUUCCACAAUGACCACUUCUGUAACGAUGCUGUAAUGCGGGGUUUUUUUUUGUAUUCUCCAUUUCUUGAGAACCACAGGACUUAACCUGUAGCAAGGAUAUAGCUCCAUUGUCCUGUGUGCUUUAUCACCUUUUCCCUGGGCAAUCGGGGGCCAGUCAGACCAAGGGGAUUUACUCCUGUAGUUACCACAGGCUGACUGGGGGCAGCUUCUGUGUUUCUCAUGCUUGUCACUUCGGCAAACCCUCUGCCAGGUGAUUUGUACAACAGUUCAGCAGAGGAGUUUCCAGUUCUUUUUGAGGGCUAACGGUGAAAUAACACUGUGCAAAAAUGUGUGUAUGUAGGAUGGUGACAAAGAGUGACAAGUUUUCGACCUUUUCAGUCAAAAAGGGGAAAAAACCCACUGUCAUAAGGCUUGAAGGCUUGAGUCAAAAGGCUUUGUGAGAUGUCAUUAGAGUUAAGUGCUGUUCAUUUUUGAGUUUUCUUUUUUGUGCUUGAAAUUUUUGAAGUUGGUCGAGGAAACAGUCUUUCGGUUUGACCUAAUAAGAAUGCUGUGGUCAUGCCAAUAAAAAGUGAACAAUAGCAAUUUGUUGAAAAAGUAGGUUAGUUUUAAUUGUAUUCUCUCUUGGUAUUGCCAUCAAGAGUUGAUCUUUCUGAGCUCAGCUAU